rnacentral:misc_RNA from 1 species
AACGCACCUUGCGCUCCCUGGUAUUCCGGGGAGCAUGCCUGUUUGAGUGUCAUUAAAUUAUCAACCCCUCCGGCUUUGUUGACUGAGUGGGCUUGGACUUGGAGUGUGCCGGCGCGAGCCGGCUCCUCUUUAAAUGCAUUAGCGGAACGUCCUUUCGUGGUGUGGUGUGAUAAUUAUCUACGCCUCUAGAGCCGUGCCUGGGCCCCUGCUUCCAACCGUCCUCGCGGACAAAUAUUUUAUUUAAUGUGUGACCUCAAAUCAGGUAGGACUACCCGCUGAACUUAA